rnacentral:lncRNA from 1 species
AAGGAAGGUUUGGAUUGAUUUUGGGAGUUUUGGUUCCAACAGUUUAGGAAUAAGGGGCCAAAAGGGUCCAAAAUUAAACUUUGUUUGAUUUCAUCAAAAAAUGAAUUAUUGGGGUUCUUUGAUAUGCCAAAUCUAACAGUGUAUUUAGAUUCUUAAUUGUUGGUCCUGUUUUCAAAUUGGUUUACAUUAAGGUCCAAAGGG